CAGCCGCCGCGGUAAUACCGGCGGCCCGAGUGGCGGUCACUAUUAUUGGGCUUAAAGCGUCCGUAGCCGGGUUGGGAAGUCCUCCGGGAAAUCUGGCCGCUUAACGGUCAGAAUGCCGGAGGAUACUCCCAGCCUAGGGAGCGGGAGAGGCCGAGGGUAUUCCCGGAGUAGGGGUGAAAUCCUAUAAUCCCGGGAGGACCACCUGUGGCGAAGGCGCUCGGCUGGAACGCGUCCGACGGUGAGGGACGAAGGCCAGGGGAGCAAACCGGAUUAGAUACCCGGGUAGUCCUGGCGGUAAACGAUGCGGACUUUGUGUCGGACAAGCUAUGAGCUUGUCCGGUGCCGGAGGGAAACCGUUAAGUCCGCCGCCUGGGGAGUACGGCCGCAAGGCUGAAACUUAAAGGAAUUGGCGGG
rnacentral:rRNA from 1 species